rnacentral:misc_RNA from 1 species
GUGAAUCAUCAAAUCUUUGAACGCAAAUUGCGCCUUUUUCGGAAGGCAUGUCUGUUUGAGGGCACCAUUUAACAAAUAAUGUGCAUGCUGUGUGUAUUUUUACGCACACGUACACACGUUGAUGAGCAUUUCCAAAAAAAGAAAAUUUUUUGGUGGAACGUAAUAAACAGCGUGAGCUUUACUCCAAUUUUUCCGGGCGUAGCAAAAUUUUUUUACGGCGCUUGGGUGUUU